UCCCGCGCGAGCGGGGGCGGAGCGGCCCGUGGUGCAGAUCUUGGUGGUAGUAGCGAUCACCAGGCGAGAACCCUGAGGGCCGAAGUGGAGAAGGUUUCUCGAGAACGGCACUCGCUCGAGAGUUAGUCGAUCCUAAGCUGCCGGCGGCAGCCACGAAACGGUCGAUCGGGCGCGAGCCCGGCAGCCACGACCGGGCAGCGAAAGGGAAUUGGGAACCUCCUUCCCAAACCCGGAACCGGAACGAGGGCGGCGACGCGAACGAAACGGCCGCGGAGACGGCGGCCGCGGCCCCGGAGAGAGUUCUCUUUUCUGUGCGACUGGACGUCGGCCCCGGAAUCGCGUCGAGCGGAGGGGGGUCGGAGUUCAGGAAUUAGCACCCCGGCCUUUCGGGGUGUCCGGGCGGCCGCGGUCGUCCCAUGAAAAUCCGCGGAUGAACGAG
rnacentral:rRNA from 1 species